GUCUACGGCCAUGCCACCCUGAACACGCCCGAUCUCGUCUGAUCUCGGAAGCUCAGCAGGGUCGGGCCUGGAUAGUACUUGAAUGGGUGACCACCUAGGAAGACCUGGUGCUGUAGGCU
rnacentral:rRNA from 1 species